UUUAGCCUCGAUAGUAGCGGCAUCCUUUUUUAUGUUUAACCCUUCGACUGCGCUCAAGGUGACAGAAAAAAGAUAUAGCGUAUAGCGAGAAAUAG
rnacentral:sRNA from 1 species